ACUCCCAGGAGUGGUUAUUCACUCCAGUAAUAUGCUUGGCAUUGCACUUUAUGGGGGGGUAGAAAGUUGCUUGCACACAAACUCAAGUAUGAAGCUUUGUACGAUCUUGGAGGAAGGUUGGUCCCAAUGUGAAAGUGCACGGCUUUUUGUUCAGCGCUAUCUUCUUCCAAUUUUCUGUGUUUGGCAGUUUUUCAUCGUGGUUGAAGAGUCAUCCAGUUUCGAGCCCAAGCUAAUAUUUAUUUCAGUAUCCUUGUGGAGAAUAUUAUGCAGGAUUGAGGAUGCUUCAUCGAAUGAUUGAUUUGUUGAGGAUGCUUCAUCAAAUGAUUGAUUCGAUUCAUUCUAUAGCAUGUAAAAUAUUGACCAUUUUGGAGGAAUUAUAAGGUGCUGAUGCAUCAGGACGUGUAUGCUAUCAUGAGGCGUCAAUCCAUACAAGUGGAGCACAUGGUUCGUCGAUUGAUAUUGAGGACUGUUGAUCUGAUGGGUCAAAUCUGGAUGGGGGCACCCCAAAAAAUCUUCCAUACUGGAAGACCCUACCCAUUCAAUCCCGGCCUUAAUUUUUUAAUUUUUUUUCCCAGGCCAUUGUUGUGUUGACUCUUUUCUCUGUAAUCCACGGAUCAAAGGAGUUUGGAUUUUCCAUUCUGGAUGUGCGUUCCACAUGGAUUAUGCGGCCAAUAAGAUUACCGUUCUGCAUUAAUGAAGAGCAUUUUCUUGGGUUUGAUCACGUAUCUUAUUACAUUGGAGUUUGCUUUUACUUGAUGGUCUUUCGAUGAUGCUGAAGGGCAACCCAUCCAAUGCUUCCAACUUCAAGUCAGAUCAGAGGUGGUUUCUUGUAACGAGGAAAGCCCGAUGCUGAAUCUGCUGGUGCUCAUGUGUGCCCGAUGUUUGCCAAGAGCUACUGCACUACUAGUAUCUCCCACCAUCCAUAAAUGAAGGCCAGGAAUCUUGAUGCACAUCUGAAAAUAAUUAUUCGAAUAUUCAAAUCUUGAAACGCACUAGAUUCCUGCCAACGAUAUCUACUAAAGUGGCUACCUUGUCUUUAACAGCUGAAAAGGAUGAGGCAUUCCUACAACCCUGAUGUGUGUUUUCCUGACCGUAUAUAUUCUUUAGGAAAUUAGAAACAUUUUUUAUUUUAUUUUUUCAGCAGCCAAUGGAGGCCAUGGCCCUCUUUGGAUUGCCCAAAAUGGGCCUAUAAAGUACUUGAAAAACCA